AGCAGGAGCAGGGCUGAAGACUUCAUCCACCAGAGCCUGCCCUACCUGCAGGACCCUCAGGCCAACGUGCGCCUGGCGGCCGUCAGGUUCAUCGGACUCAUCACACGGCGCCUGAGGGAGCAGACCACAGAGAGUCAGGCUGACAUCCUGAGCGCACUUCAGCCCUUGGAGAAUGACUGGGACAUCUCUGUCAGCUCCCUGGCAGCUCGGACAACCUCCAUUCUGAGGAGUCCUUGCGUGCAGCAAAGACCAAGAGGCCUCCUGCG